GAUGAACGCUGGCGGCGUGCCUAAUACAUGCAAGUCGAGCGAACAGAUGAGGAGCUUGCUCCUCUGACGUUAGCGGCGGACGGGUGAGUAACACGUGGAUAACCUACCUAUAAGACUGGGAUAACUUCGGGAAACCGGAGCUAAUACCGGAUAAUAUAUUGAACCGCAUGGUUCAAUAGUGAAAGACGGUUUUGCUGUCACUUAUAGAUGGAUCCGCGCCGCAUUAGCUAGUUGGUAAGGUAACGGCUUACCAAGGCAACGAUGCGUAGCCGACCUGAGAGGGUGAUCGGCCACCUGGGAACUGAGCCACGGUCCAGACUCCUACGGGAGGCAGCAGUAGGGAAUCUUCCGCAAUGGGCGAAAGCCUGACGGAGCAACGCCGCGUGAGUGAUGACGGUCUUCGGAUCGUAAAACUCUGUUAUUAGGGAAGAACAAAUGUGUAAGUAACUAUGCACGUCUUGACGGUACCUAAUCAGAAAGCCACGGCUAACUACGUG
rnacentral:rRNA from 1 species